rnacentral:rRNA from 1 species
AAUAUUAGUUAAGUACUUUAAACCCAAAGAAUUUGGCGGUACCUUAUUCCUUUCAGAGGAACCUACCCCGUAAUUGAUAAUACACGAUUAACUUUACUUAAUUUAUUUGUUUGUAUAUCUCCGUUAUCAGAAGAUCUUUUUAGAGUUAGAAUUUUCUUGAUUUAUUAUUAUAAAAUAUUUCAGGUCAAGGUGCAGCUUAUAAUUAAGGGGAGGUGGGUUACAAUAGAUUUUAUUUAAAAUGGAUUUUUUAAUGAAUAAUUUUUAAUGAAGGUGGAUUUGAUAGUAAUUUAAUUUAUUUAAUUUUAUUGAUAUUGGCUCUAAGGUGUGU